UGGGAAACCAUGUCAAGAAAUGACAGACUCAUUUGGAUAUUUCCCAUCCAAAAUAAAUAUCUCUCCGGGUGUAGUCGGUGGAAACCGAAGACGAGCGAUCGAGGUCUUGGCUCUUUCCCAGAUGCUCUCAUUUACCCUUCUCCAACAGUCUGGACGCCAGCCGCAGACAAAGGGCAGAUGUUGUGAUGCGAUGUGUUUCUUUGAGUGCUGAAAGGAGACGGUGUAAUGAACAGCAGCAGUACGAUGGAAGAGGAAAAGCUGAUCCUGCCUAGCCAUGGCAGUGGCAUAAAGCGUCAACCAGGUUUCCUGCUGAGUGGUGUCGUUACAUAAUAAAAGAUACAGUGACCCCUGCA
ensembl:lncRNA